rnacentral:rRNA from 2 species
GCAAGUCGAGCGGACAGAAGGGAGCUUGCUCCCGGAUGUUAGCGGCGGACGGGUGAGUAACACGUGGGUAACCUGCCUGUAAGACUGGGAUAACUCCGGGAAACCGGAGCUAAUACCGGAUAGUUCCUUGAACCGCAUGGUUCAAGGAUGAAAGACGGUUUCGGCUGUCACUUACAGAUGGACCCGCGGCGCAUUAGCUAGUUGGUGAGGUAACGGCUCACCAAGGCGACGAUGCGUAGCCGACCUGAGAGGGUGAUCGGCCACACUGGGACUGAGACACGGCCCAGACUCCUACGGGAGGCAGCAGUAGGGAAUCUUCCGCAAUGGACGAAAGUCUGACGGAGCAACGCCGCGUGAGUGAUGAAGGUUUUCGGAUCGUAAAGCUCUGUUGUUAGGGAAGAACAAGUGCAAGAGUAACUGCUUGCACCUUGACGGUACCUAACCAGAAAGCCACGGCUAACUACGUGCCAGCAGCCGCGGUAAUACGUAGGUGGCAAGCGUUGUCCGGAAUUAUUGGGCGUAAAGGGCUCGCAGGCGGUUUCUUAAGUCUGAUGUGAAAGCCCCCGGCUCAACCGGGGAGGGUCAUUGGAAACUGGGAAACUUGAGUGCAGAAGAGGAGAGUGGAAUUCCACGUGUAGCGGUGAAAUGCGUAGAGAUGUGGAGGAACACCAGUGGCGAAGGCGACUCUCUGGUCUGUAACUGACGCUGAGGAGCGAAAGCGUGGGGAGCGAACAGGAUUAGAUACCCUGGUAGUCCACGCCGUAAACGAUGAGUGCUAAGUGUUAGGGGGUUUCCGCCCCUUAGUGCUGCAGCUAACGCAUUAAGCACUCCGCCUGGGGAGUACGGUCGCAAGACUGAAACUCAAAGGAAUUGACGGGGGCCCGCACAAGCGGUGGAGCAUGUGGUUUAAUUCGAAGCAACGCGAAGAACCUUACCAGGUCUUGACAUCCUCUGACAACCCUAGAGAUAGGGCUUUCCCUUCGGGGACAGAGUGACAGGUGGUGCAUGGUUGUCGUCAGCUCGUGUCGUGAGAUGUUGGGUUAAGUCCCGCAACGAGCGCAACCCUUGAUCUUAGUUGCCAGCAUUCAGUUGGGCACUCUAAGGUGACUGCCGGUGACAAACCGGAGGAAGGUGGGGAUGACGUCAAAUCAUCAUGCCCCUUAUGACCUGGGCUACACACGUGCUACAAUGGACAGAACAAAGGGCUGCGAGACCGCAAGGUUUAGCCAAUCCCACAAAUCUGUUCUCAGUUCGGAUCGCAGUCUGCAACUCGACUGCGUGAAGCUGGAAUCGCUAGUAAUCGCGG